GCAAAACGCGUGGGAGAGAGCGGGGAACCCCCGCCGCCGAAGGCGCAAUUCCGCCCGGAAACGCUCAGGCCACAGGACCACGCACG
rnacentral:ncRNA from 2 species